CACAAAUAAAUAUCCAAAAAAAAAAUUUAAGUUUAGGGGGAGGAAAAACCAUUGAAUUUUAUCCACACUUUUACAAGUUACAUACUUACAUUGCAGAUGGACUUCGUCCCAUUUUCGGUAAGGUUGAAGCCAAACAAAAAUGGAAUGAAAAAAAAAAGGUAAAAGAAGAAAAAUGAAUAUUUCAAGUUAUGAGAUUCACUCUUCAGCAUUACUGAACUCAUUCAUAUGUAUACAUUUUAUAUAUGCUGUGUAUUUGCCAUUUUUUAAUUAUUUAUUACUGUCAUAAAACAUUUUGAACCUUUUGUGUGCAUUGUUGUGAAACAUAAAUGGAUUCUCUUUAUUAUACCUUUUGCAAUAUUGUAUAAAUUUGAUAGUGGUAUAUUCUGUUUAACAUUUUCUAAAUGUUUAAUUUUUUGUGUGGCUAAUUAAAUUAAUCUUUGUUCACAUGGAUAUAGUUAAUUGAUUUUGAAGGUACUGGAUUUUAUGACUGAAGAAAUUGUUGAUGCUGCAUAUGGAUUUGUGUAUCUUGCAAGAGCUUUUCUCAAUCAUGCUAACAAAUCACUUUAGCGUCAAAUCUUUUGAUAUAAUAGUUUGAUACUUAUCCAACGCCCUGAAUCUUAUGACUGUAGACUACAGUUAGUGAAUCCAAAUCCAUACAAUAAAACUGCUAUUUAGUGAUUAAUUUAGAAACCCAAAACGUCAAAUUAACCUUAACAACUAAUGAUUUCGUGACUUUUUACAAAUUGUCCUCUAAAUUGGUAACUGACUCAUUUAGUCGCCGAUUUAUGUUUAAGCCGCUAAAUUGGUCACUAGAUACCAGAUUUUUAGUAGCAUCUUUUUUCAACCUUUCACUUGUCCUCGUUUCAAGAGCUCAUAAUUAAGGCAACAACUAAGCCUGUGGCAGUUGGUUUUGGGAUAUCAACAUUGGAGCAGGUGAAGCAGGAUGGGGAGCUGAUGAAGUGAUGGACAGAUGGUGUGAUAGUUGGCAGUGCUAUGGUGAAGUGGCUUACUGCUUAGUGAGGCCAAAACUCCCCAAGAGGGAAUGAAAGAACUUGAAAAAUUCACCCGCUCCUUAAAAUUGGCACUUAAUUGGAAUUAUGUCUAGAAGAGCACAAACUUCUGGCAGUUGUUGUCUUCAUAGAUAAUACUAAUGGAUUGAAUAAGGAAGGAUCUGUUCAGUUUUUUUAUACAACAAUAAUAUAACAUGGUUAUGUUUUUGUUCAUUUUCAAUUAUGAUAGAAUAUUUCGUUUCUGAAAUAAAUGUGAGAUGUGAGAUUUAUCUCAUUUGAUUUGA